GUGCUAAUGUUAAUAGGUAGGAUUUCGUUGAAUAUUGCAGGUCACCAUUAAUUAAGUUACCAAAAAUCGAAAUUGACAAAAACCGCUAUUGCAUAAAUAUUCCUGCUUAUUCCUGUUUGUUCUCAUUAUAAAUAAAAAUACCUAUAAAGAAAAAAAAUGACUUUCUCAAUCCAACGAAUGGAUAAAAUUUAAUAAUAAAAAUCACACCUGAAAGCUGAAUCAGACGAUAUUUGUUUUCCCGUCGAAAACUUUUGUUUACCCACAGAAAAAAAAAACGCAAAAACACUUCAUAUAGGGAAACUAAUUCAUAACUCACUUUGCUCAGAAUAUAAAAUUAGUGUUGAGUAUAAUUAUAUUAGAUAAUGUGGUUUCGAAUGGAUCAAUUUAUGUGUAAUUUAUUUAUUAACGUUAUGUUUUGAAAUGUGUGAUGUUAUAUUACAUUCGCAUUUAUUUAUUUAUUUGCAAUAUAGCAGAAUGUGAUGUCGCCAUAUUAUAUUAUAGGAAUAUAAAAUUAAUAAUUUUGAUGAACGAAAUUGGCAAAAGAAAAUAAUAGAUUUUUAAAAUAUCUUAUGUAACAUGUGAUUGUUGCCAUCAUAACGGAUACAAAAAUGAAUAAAUUAUGGGAGUUUAAAGUUUAAAGUUAAUCGUUCAACACCUAUCCUAAUCAACACCUCCCAAACGUCGCUGUCAAACUUAAGCGUAUUAUUUAUCAAUAUACCACUAAAAAUAAACAGAAAAAAGGGAUACGAGGUGAAACCAAUAUGGAUCGAAAAAGUAUAAUGUCACAAUUUAAAACA